GAUGAACGCUGACAGAAUGCUUAACACAUGCAAGUCUACUUGAACUUCGGUUUGGGUGGCGGACGGGUGAGUAACGCGUAAAGAACUUGCCUCACAGUUAGGGACAACAUUUGGAAACGAAUGCUAAUACCUGAUAUUAUGAUUUUAGGGCAUCCUAAAAUUAUGAAAGCUAUAUGCGCUGUGAGAGAGCUUUGCGACCCAUUAGCUAGUUGGAGAGGUAACGGCUCACCAAGGCGAUGAUGGGUAGCCGGCCUGAGAGGGUGAACGGCCACAAGGGGACUGAGACACGGCCCUUACUCCUACGGGAGGCAGCAGUGGGGAAUAUUGGACAAUGGACCAAAAGUCUGAUCCAGCAAUUCUGUGUGCACGAUGACGUUUUUCGGAAUGUAAAGUGCUUUCAGUUGGGAAGAAAAAAAUGACGGUACCAACAGAAGAAGUGACGGCUAAAUACGUG
rnacentral:rRNA from 1 species